UACGUAGGGUGCAAGCGUUGUUCGGAAUCAUUGGGCGUAAAGCGCGUGUAGGUGGUUAGGUAAGUCGGAUGUGAAAUCCCUGGGCUCAACCGAGGAAGUGCACCCGAAACUACUUAGCUAGAGGACGGUAGAGGAAGGUGGAAUUCCAAGUGUAGAGGUGAAAUUCGUAGAUAUCUGGAGGAACACCGGUGGCGAAGGCGGCCUUCUGGGCCGUUCCUGACACUGAGACGCGAAAGCGUGGGUAGCAAACAGG
rnacentral:rRNA from 1 species